rnacentral:rRNA from 1 species
AGUUUGAUCCUGCUCAGAGCGAACGCUGCGGCAUGCUAACACAUGCAAGUCGCACGGCGGGGGCAACUCCGUCAGUGGCGGACGGGUAGUAACGCGUAGGUAUCUGUCCCUGGGUGGGGGAUAACCGUGGGAAACUACGGCUAAUGCCGCAUGACACCUGAGGGUCAAAGGCGCAAGUCGCCUGGGGAGGAGCCUGCGUCCGAUUAGCUUGUUGGUGGGGUAAAGCCCUCCCAAGGCUACCGAUCGGUAGCUGGUCUGAGAGGAUGAUCAGCCACACUGGGACUGAGACACGGCCCAGACUCCUACGGGAGGCAGCAGUGGGGAAUAUUGGACAAUGGGCGAAAGCCUGAUCCAGCAAUGCCGCGUGGGUGAAGAAGGUCUUCGGAUUGUAAAGCCCUUUCGGCGGGGACGAUGAU